AACAGAGCCCCCAAGCGUUAUCCGGAUUUAUUGGGCGUAAAGGGUCCGUAGCCGGUCUAGUAAGUCUUUCGUUAAAUACCAAGAGCUUAACUUUUGGACCGCGGAAGAAACUAUUAGACUAGAGGAUGUUAGGGGCUGAUAGAACGUACGGUGGAGGGGUGAAAUCCGUUGAUAUCGAACGGAAUACCGAAAGCGAAGGCAUUCAGCUGGGGCAAUCCUGACGGUGAGGGACGAAAGCGUGGGGAGCAAAAAGG
rnacentral:misc_RNA from 1 species